AAGAAAGAGCAAGAAGAAAAGGUACAAAAGGGAAAGGAGAAAGCAGAGGCUUGUCUCUACACAAUGAUCAAGGUAGCUCGUGAUGAAGACCUCGGUGAACAAAUUGGAAAGGAGAUUUAUUUUGAUCUUGUGGACCAUGAUAAAGUGCGUUCUUUUCGUGUUGAGAAACAGACGCCAUUUACUCAAUUCAAG